rnacentral:rRNA from 1 species
CCCUUAGAUGUUCUGGGCAGCACGCGCGCUACAAUGGUCUUCGCAAACGGAUGCAUUCUCGAAGGAGAAUGCCAAUCUUGGAAUCUAUGCCUUGGUCGGGACAGUUGCUUGCAAUUUUUCGACUCGAACCAGGAAUUCCUUGUAAUCGUGAUUCAUCACAUCACGAUGAAUACGUCCCUGCCCUUUGUACACACCGCCCGUCGCUCCUACCGAUCGAAGAGUUAGGUGAAUUGUUUUGAUCGAUAAGAUUUGACGAUGGUCAACUCUCGUUGUGAAAUUCUGUGAAUCUGACUGUUUAGAGGAAGGAAAAGUCGUAACA